UACGUAGGGUGCAAGCGUUAAUCGGAAUUACUGGGCGUAAAGGGCGCGUAGGCGGCAUGACAAGUCACUUGUGAAAUCUCCGGGCUUAACUCGGAACGGCCAAGUGAAACUGUCAAGCUAGAGUGCAGAAGGGGCAAUCGGAAUUCUUGGUGUAGCGGUGAAAUGCGCAGAUAUCAGGAGGAACACCGGUGGCGAAGGCGGUUCUCUGGGCAUUACCUGACGCUGAGGAGCGAAAGUGUGGGGAGCGAACGGG
rnacentral:rRNA from 1 species